UACGUAGGGGGCUAGCGUUGUUCGGAAUCAUUGGGCGUAAAGCGCGUGUAGGCGGCCCGGUAAGUCCGCUGUGAAAGUCGGGGGCUCAACCCUCGGAUGCCGGUGGAUACUGUCGGGCUCGAGUACGGAAGAGGCGAGUGGAAUUCCUGGUGUAGCGGUGAAAUGCGCAGAUAUCAGGAGGAACACCGAUUGCGAAGGCAGCUCGCUGGGACGUGACUGACGCUGAGACGCGAAAGCGUGGGGAGCAAACAGG
rnacentral:rRNA from 1 species